GUAGAGCACUCCUACGGGAGGCAGCAGUGGGGAAUAUUGCACAAUGGGCGCAAGCCUGAUGCAGCCAUGCCGCGUGUAUGAAGAAGGCCUUCGGGUUGUAAAGUACUUUCAGCAGUGAGGAAGGUGGGUAUGUUAAUAGCAUACUCAUUUGACGUUAGCUGCAGAAGAAGCACCGGCUAACUCCGUGCCAGCAGCCGCGGUAAUACGGAGGGUGCGAGCGUUAAUCGGAAUUACUGGGCGUAAAGCGCAUGCAGGUGGUUUGUUAAGUCAGAUGUGAAAGCCCGGGGCUCAACCUCGGAAUUGCAUUUGAAACUGGCAAACUAGAGUACUGUAGAGGGGGUAGAAUUUCAGGUGUAGCGGUGAAAUGCGUAGAGAUCUGAAGGAAUACCGGUGGCGAAGGCGGCCCCCUGGACAGAUACUGACACUCAGAUGCGAAAGCGUGGGGAGCAAACAGGAUUAUAUACCCUGGUAG
rnacentral:rRNA from 1 species